AUUGAACGCUGGCGGCAGGCCUAACACAUGCAAGUCGAGCGGAGCGGCGGACGGGUGAGUAUUGCCUAGGAAUCUGCCUGGUUGUAGGAGAUAACGUCCGGAAACGGGCGCUAAUACUGCAUACUAUCAGAUGAGCCUCGGUCGGAUUAGCUAGUUGGUGGGGUAAAGGCCUACCAAGGCGCCGAGCCGUAACUGGUCUGAGAGGAUGAUCAGUCACACGGGAACUGGGACACGGUCCAGAAUCUUACGGGAGGCAGCAGUGGGGAAUAUUGGACAAGGGGCGAAAGCCUGAUCCAGCCAUUCCGCGUGUGUGAAGAAGGGCUUCGGAUUGUAAAGCACUUUAAGUUGGGAGGCGUUACCAACAGAAUAAGCACCGGCUAACUCCGUGCCAGCAGCCGCGGUAAUAC
rnacentral:rRNA from 1 species